UAGACAAAUACGUAGUGGGUGCUUACCAC
rnacentral:piRNA from 1 species